rnacentral:lncRNA from 1 species
GUUCAUGAGAUGCUGAAACUUUCUACUUCUUCUCACUACAACAGUGACGUCCUUUGUUGAAGGACUAAAGCUGUCUUAUAUAAUAAGAAGUUGCAAAGCAAUAUGGCUUAUGGGUUGCCUGGGAAUUGGAUGCAAAGAUGAAAAUAUCCGAGUAGCUUUCUCCCAACAUUCUACUUGGUCAUUAACCAACUAUCCGAGUACAGAGCUGCUCCUGAUUAACCCUGAAGACCUCGACAGAAAGCUAACCUUGAUGAGACACAUCUCCAGAGAUAGUAGAAACACGAGAGAGACAGAAGGCAGAAGACAUGGAGAAGAUACAGAUCCAGGAGUACCAUUCUACUUUUCCAUGACUGCCCCUCCAACCUCUUGUUGGUUUCCCAGGCCAGU